AUACGGAGGGUGCAAGCGUUAUUCGGAAUCACUGGGCGUAAAGGACGCGUAGGCGGGUUGGCAAGUCAGAUGUGAAAUCCUACAGCUUAACUGUAGAACUGCAUUUGAAACUGCUAACCUAGAGUAUGGGAGGGGGAGAUGGAAUUAGUGGUGUAGGGGUAAAGGCCGUAGAUAUCACUAGGAAUACCGAAAGCGAAGGCGAUCUCCUGGAACAUAACUGACGCUAAGGCGUGAAAGCGUGGGGAGCAAACAGGAUUAGAAACCCUAGUAGUCC
rnacentral:rRNA from 1 species